UAAGAGGGGAUUUCCCCAUAGUUAACGGGCGAGUGAAGCGGGAAGAGCUCAAAUUUGUAAUCUGGCACUUUCAGUGUCCGAGUUGUAAUCUCGAGAAGUAUUUUCCGCGCCGGACCGCAUACAAGUCUGUUGGAAUACAGCGUCAUAGUGGUGAGAACCCCGUAACUGAUGCGGAUGCCCGGUGCUUUGUGAUAUACUUUCGAAGAGUCGAGUUGUUUGGGAAUGCAGCUCAAAUUGGGUGGUAAAUUCCAUCUAAAGCUAAAUAUUGGAGCAAGACCGAUAGCGAACAAGUACCGUGAGGGAAAGAUGAAAAGCACUUUGGAAAGAGAGUUAACAGUACGUGAAAUUGUUGGAAGGGAAACGCUUGAAGUCAGACUUGCUAUUCGGAGUUCAGCCGCAAGGUGUAUUCUUCGAUUUGCAGGCCAGCAUCAGUUUUUGGGGGUGGAAAAUCGUGGUUUGAAGGUAGCAGUUUCGGCUGUGUUAUAGCUUUCCACUGGAUUCAUCUUCGGGGACUGAGGAACGCAGUACGCUUUUUGCAAGGCUCUCGAGCUUUUCGUACUUAGGAUGCUGGUGGAAUGGCUUUAAACGACCCGUCUUGAACCACGGACCA
rnacentral:rRNA from 1 species